CAAGUGGACAGACUUGUUUGGCCAAUGCCCCUAGUUCUCACUUUUCUUUCUCCAAAGAAAAAAAUCAGAAAAGCAAAACCAGAGCAAACCAAACAUAGGUUAGAGCUAAUGAGAAGUACAGGAUGUCUGGUUUCAACUUUUAAAAGAUGACCACUAAAUUAGAUUGUAACUUCAGAGAGGAAGGAAAAUUAAGACUAUCGAUGAAUUCUUUGUCUUUAGCAGUGCCAAGAAAGCAGAGAAAAAAAGAAUCCGCAGAAGAGAAGAGACCUAGAGAAGUUGCUUAGUCCUCCCCCGCGGGAGGGCUGUACCUCAAAAAUGCCAUAUUGGAGGGACGUCCAGUUCUCCUAGGUUUCCAGGGAAACUCUGUCCAAGUUGUGGAUAUGUCAUUGGUUUGUUACCCUCUUUAUUCACUGGUCUUCUCUGUCUCAUACCACAAUGGCAAACCCAGAGAGAUGGACCGACCUAGUUGGCCUGGUGAUCAGGUUGCUACUAAUGAAGGUGAGUUGCUCUGCUUUCUAGCCUGAGCUUUCUAUUUUAGGAAUUUAAAGGGUAAGAGAUUGAAGACAAAGGUGUUCACAGUGGCUGCUACUGCAAUUCAAAAUGGUCUAGCAUUGUACAGAUUGUCGUCGGGCCUCAGGGAAAUUGCUCAGCCCUCCACAGCUCCCAUGGCCUAUCUCAGCACAAUGAGGGGGUCCACAUUUCCAAGUUCAAGACCUUUCAUAACUACGUCACCUUCUAUUUAUCAGAGUCUUCCUCUCAGGACCACUAAACUAUUUUUGGAUCUGAAGCACAGUAUACAAAACAUAGCUACAUAUCAACAAUUACACGAUUAUUCCAGACCCAUCGCCCUUGGUUUUGCCUCAUCUGACCUGGAAUAUUAAGGGAGGGAAAACCACAUCUAUUUUUAGUUUCUUCCGGAAUUCCUCAAAUUGUUCACUUUUCCAUUUUGUUGAAAGCCAUUAAGAUCUAGACUUUGUGUUUUACCCAGCAGUGUGUGCACAUACUUACGGCACAUCUUUGUCUGGGACUCUUCAUUUGAACCUUCUGGGCUCUCACUAAAUAUGGGCAAUCUUAUGAGUGACCUCUUGCCCCUGAGUCACCCGAAUCCACUAAUGUCUCUCUCUCUCUCUCAAAAACAAACAUACACACACAUGCAUGCACACUCCUAUGCCACAUACACACUCACACUUCUAUACAUAAAAUUAGAGAGCAGCCAGCACACAUAAUUCUGGACCAUGGAGAUAUCUAGCAGAGUUGACACUUGGACCAGAUCUUUUAUUGACUUUCCCCUCCAUUAUUUUCAGCAAUAAUCCUUAUUUGCUUGACUAAUUCUUUUGAUUUAAAGCAAUUGACUGAAAAAGAAAACAUUUUACUUUAUGCUACUACUAAAAUUCAGUGAAAUGUUUAAGUGUGAACUCAAAUUUGUAUGUGCCAAAUAAUAAUAGUAUGCCUUGAAGUUUGCACUCUUCACUGUUUUAAAUUUUAAACAAAAAUAAAAACUCUAUAAGGUCCCAUAUAAUGACAGAAUUGAAGCUACAUAUGUUCAGUUUCUUUACAAACACCAUGCUAACAUUGUGUGUUUUUAAUCUACUGUUCAAAUGCAGGGAUGUGUCAUUCUGCAGAGGCUGGAGAGACUUCAGGCAAACUCAACAGUCCCAAACCCUUAGAAACUUACUCUUGGAACAAACAUAUGUAGCUGAGUUCCUCUGUGUCAGGAGCUGCUAUAUAAAUGAGAGUUUUCUGAAUUACCUUCUCUGUAGAACACUAUUUAUUAAAAGAUCUGCCUGCCAAACCUGCCUUCCUCGAAAUAUCCCUUCAUGUGAAAGCAUUAUGAGAAAGGGUAAAUCUAAUUGUAUACUAUAAUAGUGGCAGUAGGUGAGUUUACGUCACACACGCUAGGAAACUGCUUUAAUCUUUCGACAUCUCUCUCUUUCCAAAUCAUGCACGCAUUCAUUCCAUCAUCAAACAUUUAUUGAAAAUCUACACACCAGACACUGUUCUAGGCCCUGGGGAUAAGAAGUAAUGAAAACAACUGUCCCCUAGGAGUCUGCACUCUAGUUGAGGGAGGUGCUGGCUAGCCUCUGUUUACCCUCCAGGUCCAUCUUUGCCCUUUUCUGUGCCCCAGGAGGCUAGCCCCGCACUCUACUGUGCCUUGUCCUCUGGGAGGGUGAUGGAAGGUAGGGAGAGUGGGAGAUCCCAGCGGGAGGUUGUAGUAUGGAAGCACUGGAGAGCUAGGCAUUUUCUCCCCGCCAACUCCUUCCAGGCUGCAGUUUUGGCAGUGGUUGUGUUCCUGCCCUCUAGCCACAGAUCCUGGGGGAUCCCCCUCUCCCAUAGCCACAGAUCUUGGCAGGUUCCUCUGACACCUCUCUUACCUCCCCACCCUUCUUGACCCUUUUUACUUAAUGAGAGGCAACCCAUGGCUGCUCAAUGCUGUCGGUUCUAUGUUGACUUAACUGUUCUUACCUCUUCUGUUACCCUUUGAGAAUGUCACUUCUUUUCUGCCAGGACCUUGACUGAUACAGAAAUACAGAAAAUAAACAAACAAAUGAGUUAUA
rnacentral:lncRNA from 1 species